GAUUAUGUAUUGCAGGCAUAUGCAAAAAUAAGUUUGCAUAUCCUGAGCAUAUCCGACCUCACCUUUGUUGUGAAUAAAUCACAGACUGUCCUGGAUUCCAGAAGAGUUCCAACCAGUGAAGCUGGCAUUCCAGGAGAAUCCUCUGAUUCUUUUGGCAAAACUGAGUCAAGAACAUAUUGCCAGUUCUUCCUGGGCUCAACUAAAUGUGGAUUCCAUUCACAAUCACUUUUGCUUUGCAUGUUGUGUACGCUUAUGACCAUCAUGUUUAUCAGCAGUUCCAGAGGGCAGCUGCGAGGUUGCUUCCAAAUAUUGCAAUAUGAUUCCAUAAUGUUUUGUAGAAUUUGGAAUCCAUUAUUCUCAUAUUCAAGGACAGGUUUCAGAUUUCAGCAUUGAAAGAUGUCUUCCCAGUUCUUUCAUUGCUUUCAGGGUGCUCAGCUCACAUGGCCUGAGACAGGAAUUGUGCAGCCUCCACAGCCACCUAAACUAUAGACUUUCUAGAGGACUCUACAAAAGCCUGUUUCAUGUGCAGCAUGGUGGAAGAAUACAGUUAACUUUUUCAAUACUAGAACCAUAAAAAUCACUGAAACUAUAUUACCUUUUUGUUUAUCCUAAAAGAGACAAAUAUUCACCCUAUCUAGAAACACAGAACAUCUUCAAAUGCACCUCUGCGUUGUUGAAAAAGGCAUGUUUUGGGGAACUUUAAAGGUGUUGAAUAAUGAAGAAUUCUUUUAUUUAUUCCUUUGAUAAUUCUACUAAAAGUGCAUUUUUUAACAAGAAGACAGUUUCUUUGUUCUUUGUUCAUUAACAUUGCUGUAUUCAACAUAACUUUGAAUCAAAUUAUCCCUUUCACAAAACUGCUCACGUUGUUUCCUGUUCCUUGGCACGAUGAAGCCAUGCAUAUGUAUGACGCGUCACCAAGUGUCAUUUUAGGAAAGACCCUGUUAGUGUGCCUAUGGAGAGAAGCAGAGUUAGAGUAUUGUAGCCAUGGAAGCCACUUUACUUUGCAGCCUUUAGCUUCCUGGAGGGAAUCUGGUGAUGGGAAAGGAAUUCCAUUUUGCAUACUACAUUGUUAGCGUGCAAAUGCUCCACUUAUUUAUAUCAUUCAAUUCAAUCUGGACAUCUUACUUUAAAAAUGUAUAUCUCAGUCCCUCUUUGAAGAAAAAUAUGAUGAAAAUAUAUGAAUUAGAGCUCACAAUUUUACAUUAUUUGUAGAUCAUAAUAACGAUCUUGGCAUUUGUAUUUACCUUACAUAGAGAUGGGAAAACAUUUUGGAAGGUUUUUUGGAGCAAUAGGAGAGGGGAAUGAAAUAUCCCAUUAAAACAGGAAGGACAUUGCUGUCACCUAAUCAGACAGCCUCAGGACUACCAGCAGAUGGUGCAACAACCUAUUUAAUCCUCAGCAUUAUCAGAAAAUAACCAAGAAUGGCAUCUUUCUUUGCUAAUUAAUUCUGAAUACUCCUAAAAAAUUAUGACUUUAAUGAUAAUAGCAUUUAAAACGAUAACCAUAGAAUCUGUAAUAAUUUUUUAAUAAUUAUACAUAAUAUCUGACUUUUUGAACUAAAAGAGACUUUAGAACUCUCUGGUCCAAGCCUUCUGUUUAACAGCUGAGGAAACUCAAGUUCUUAAGUUUAAACUUCAACCACCAGCUAAGGAGGGUCGUGAUGAGUCUUGGUCAUAUGACAGAACCCAUCGCUCAUUGAUUCAGCAACAUUAUCCCUCAGCAAAUACGAUUUCUAGCCCAAUAAUCAAAAUUUGAUGGGGUGGCGGAUGGCAUUUGAUCAUCCAAGUUAAGAUUUUUCAGCAGAUGUUUAUCUGUGGAGACUCUUCUAUUGUAAGAACAUUCAUAGUUUUAGAAAAGAGGCAUUUUCUGGGAGAACAUGCUCUCCUGUCCUCUCUGUUUCCAGCUGCAAACUAACGUGUCAUUUUGCCAAAUGCUUCCUGUCUAGCUUCUGGCUAUUUCUGAGAGAGAGAGAGAAGGUGGGGGCAGGGGGAGAAAGAGAGAGAGAGAGAGAGAUUUUUUUUUACACAUUUGCUUUGUACUAGGAAAAUAUUUCUUAUACAGUCAACAAUAGCAUAUUAAUGGGGAUGAUUUAAGGAGCCCAAGCUUCUAUUCUGUUGCCAGAAUGCCAACGGGAAUGUAUGCUACUUUUCAAAAAAUAGGUGUUGACAAUAGCCUGCAGUAUUGCACUGUAGUCAAAGAAGAGUGCUGAAAGCUUCAGUUCAUAAAAAUGCUUGAUUCAUCAAAAAUAAUCACCUCACCUGAUAAUUGAAAGCUACAGAGAAUUAUUAUGCAGCCGUGGACUCUCAAAAAUUUAUUCAUUUUUGGUAAUUAACAUUAUUUCUUCUUGAUGAUGUUGCUAAAUGGCUUGAACCCAGUCUGAAGAACCAUGCAUGAUCAUUUAUGCUGAAAAGAAAAGAAAUUAGAAGCUUUUGUUGCACAGAAUGGUGGAUAAAGAUUGCGAAUUUGCACAGCUAUAAAGCUUACUAAUUAAAGACUACAAACACAAAGAGAGCAAGCCUUGUGAUGACUGCACAAUAACGAGGAUUCAGAUACAACGUGGUCGCCACCUGACGCCCACCUCCACAAAAAGCCAUUCUCAAAAGGAGAGAGACAUUCAUAUCCAGAAGAGGGAGUCGGCUGUAGGGUAGAGGUAUGAAAUUCUCAGUCAGUUUUUACUUUGUUGGUUCCAGUAUGAUUUUCAUUAUCCUUACUUUUGUGUUUUUUAUGGCAAUGUAAACAUACAAACUAGUGGGAAACAAUGCGGUCUUUUAUUAAUUUGCAGUAACCCACAUUGUAAGCAAUGCAAUGAUUCAGACCUUAGUUAUCAAGAGGUUUUAUUAUAGAACCACUAGUAACUCAUAGACUCUUCCUGUUAUGUGAAAUAAAUGAAGACCAGCCAACUAAGAAAGGCAAAGGCUAUGUAUUCUGAGCUCAUCUGGAUCAGAGGAGUCAGCACUGUCAUUUGUGUUUGGCAGAGACUGAAAGGCAGAUGUUCGUCUGAAGAUUUCAAAGCCCACUGCUGAUUUAAGGUCAUUCACAUUCAGCCAUGAAGCUGCUCUGAAGACACAGGAACUGCAUAGCUCCCUACUGGGAAUGUCAAGGGCUGUGAAAGGUCUAAGGUUUUAUCCUACUUGCAACCAACAAGCUAUGCAGCCACAGUUUUAUGGAUGCUGUCAAAAGACAUGACACUCCUGGGUAAGAGACGAAAGACUUUACCACUUGUGGUGUAGUAGCCAGCUGGAGCAUCUUGUGUUUUGAGUUAGUGCCAGUUGUCCCCUAAGUCCCACAGCAUGCAGUUUAGGCUGCUAACAACAGCAUGAGGGCAACCUGCUGUGGUGACCUAAGCUAUGACACCCCACCCCAAGUCCGGGAUGCAGCUAACUGAGCAAACUGCAUGAACUGGGAGGCGGCCGACCAUUGUUCACGCCUCUCCUUCGCGUAUGUGUUUUCUACUGUUCUUGCACUGUAAAGGCAGAGGUUGCAUCGGGCCCUUAUGCAAAGCCCCAAAUAAUUACUGGCUGACUCUUCUCAGGGAACAUUUGCUAACCCUGUCACAAGCCAUAAGGUUCCACCACAGAUUGCCCUGUGGCUCUCUCGUUACGUUUCUGUGUGGACGUUUCCACAUGGUCUGAGGCAUUCAUCCAAGAAGAGCAGGAUGUAUUAGUGACUGCACAGAUUCUGCCUUGGCCCACAAAGAGGACAUCCAGGGCAGUCCUGGUCAUCUGUAAUAACAUUGCCCAGUGAGUUGAGGCUGACCUGAGUACUGACUUGGGUUGAGUUGGUGUCACUGAUCACUUCAGCCAAAGAUGGGACAUUUCUUAGCACCUGUUCUGAUUGGCUGACUUCUAUGGUCAGGAUAACGGCUCUCAGGAUGCGUAUAACUGCCAAGUCUCUCCGGGAAGCUUCCCUGGGUUACCAAGGAAUCCUCAUGUCUGAGAGAGCUCCACCAUCAUCCAAGGGCCACACGGAGUUUCUUGCAAUGCUUCAAGGUCUCCUGUAAUAACUCCUAUGAUAGAAGUCACUGUGUUUUGGGGAGGUAGACUGCAGCAUGCAGUUUUGACAGCAUGACCAAGGUCAUUGUUCAGGUCUGAUUAUUCAAAUUCAAAAAACUGCAACCUCAGGCAUAAAAGAUUAAGGAUGGAGCCCAAGUCUCUGGGUCCCCAAGGGGGACUGAAGCACAUACUCACCCAUCUGAAUAUGCUGGAGAACAGGAAGGAGAGACUCAAGCUUGUCUGGGUCUGUUGGAUACAGACUCUCCCAUCUCCACCCCAUCAGGUCCUAUGGAGGCCCAAGUUCAGCUGAUGAAGUUAAGGGAGUGCUCAGUGCAGAAGGGUGGGAGGGCACUUGGGGCAUUUUGGGGUCCUGUUUUUGUUGCUUCUGCAUCUGAUACAGCAGGAAUUGAAGUAUUGCACACUUGUCCUUCCCAUUUCCAAGUGCUGCCUUCCCAUCAGUAAGAGCCACAGUUAGAGAGGGACCAACAGGAGGAUAACUCCCACAUGCUUAGCAUUCCAAUAAUGGAACACUAGGCAUAAAUUGAUAAGAUGCUUUCAAUGCAAUCAGUACUCUGCCAGGAUUCACUAAGUAGAGAAUGACUAAAUAUUUACCCAUCUCCUAACAAAAAUGCACAACUGAGGACAGAUGUUUUGCACUUUUAUGUGUCUACGGACUGUGUAAGAGGAUUUGGCUGGGUCAUCAUCUUCUUCUUCUUCUUAGACUGGUUGAUGGUGACCGUUCAUUGAUCCAAUAUGGUAAAGUCAUGUCCUGGUCUGUGUUCUUCGGGGUCCACAACCCUCUUUAACAGCCUGUUGUAAGGUUCUCGACCACGUCACUGUCUAGCUAAACCAUUCUGCAUUUCAGUAGGUAAACCAGCAGGAGGGCUUAAAAACCACAUUGCCCUGUCCACAUCCCUAUUUCUGAUUCUUUUCUGGCCUGCGAUCCUACAUCUCUAUCCUCACUUUAAACUGUUUUCCUCUUUUCUUCUCCUUUUUCCUGACCUCCUUUAUGUUUUUCAUUUCUCCUCCAUCUGAAUAUACCAAACCAUCCUUUUGCUUCCUCUUUUCUCUUCAUUAAUUAUUCUAGGGGCUAUUUUUUUUAUUAGGAAGAUGUAUUAUUUUAACAUGCUUUAUAAAGUUAGUGGCAUUAAGGAAUUAAUGUCCUUGGAAACUCAUACAUGUUCAGCUUCUAGAAACCCCUGAUUCCAAGGAGCAAAAACAUGCCAUCUCUGACAGUGUCCACAAGAACAAUACCAGAUCAGACGAUAAAGCCAACACACAGCAUAGCCAAUGGCCACACAUCCAGAAAACACUCUCAACAAAUUUAACCCUUCAGUAUUCACUGUAGCCAAUAUAUAUUCAAUAUAUAUAGCUGACUUUGUUUUUAUAUUUGAUGAAGUCCUGCUAUUUGAAAUAAAAUAAUCAAACCAACAACAACAACAACAAAAACCCCAUACAUGGUGAUAGCAUAUGUGAGGCAGUAGCAAUUUCUCCAUCUUUUCUGUCCUGUCUUUCCUGUUCUUCGUUCCCAUGCUAAGAAGGGAUGGAUAUAUCUCGGAGAUUACACAGGUUCUAGUCAAAGACUUCAUUGUGAACGUUUGUUUCACAUUUUCCCUGGAUAAGGACUAAUUAAAAGUUUGGAAAAGUAUACCUUUUUUUUUUUUUUUUUUUGCAAACUUACCCAUAUUAUGUGCUUUUUCUUGAUACAGCUGCUAAUCUUUGCUGUAUAUGUAGUGUUAGGAAGUCUACUUUAAUACACACACACACGUUUAAUGAGGUAAAAUAUGCAUAACAUAAUUACCAUUUUAACAAUUUUUAAGUGUAGAGUUCAGGGGCAAGUACGUUCAUGUUCUUGUGCAACUAUCACCACCAUUUUUUCUCCAGAACCCUUUUUAUCAUCUCAAACUGAAACUCUGCACCCACUGAACAAUAACUCCCCGUUCUCUCCUCCUCCUAGACCCUGGUAACCCCUCAUCUAUUUUCUGUCUCUGUGUAUUUGACUAUUCUAGGUACCACAUUAACGUGGACUUACACAGUAUUCGUCCUUUUGUGACUGGCUUAGUUUAUUUAGCAUAAGAUCCCCAAGGUUCAGCCGGGUGCCGUGGCUCAUGCCUGAAAUCCAAGCACUUUGGGAGGCCAAGGUGGGUGGAUCACCUGAGGUCAGGAGAUUGAGACCAGCCUGGCCAACACGGUGAAACCUCAUCUCUACUAAAAUACAAAAAUUAGCUGGGCCUGGUGGCGGGCGCCUGUAAUCCUAGCUACUAGGUAGGCUGAGGCAGGAGAUUAGCUUGAACCUGGGAGGCGGAGGUUGCAGUGAGCAGAGAUGGGACCACUCCACUCCAGCUUGGGCAACAGAGCAAGACCCUGUCUCAAAAAAAAAAAAUUCAAGGUUCAUCCAUGCUGUGGCAUGUGUCAUAAUUUCAUUUCUUCAUAUUCCUGAAAUACAUUUCUAAAUAUAAAUUUUUCAUUACUGUUUUCAUUUCAAGUUAAGUUUAUCAGAUCCUGUAGUCCAGGGACUUCAGUCUCUUUGAAUUAUGUCUUUCUUGGACAAUUUGGGAGCUCUUUUGAGAAACUGAAUACAAUUUGAAUACACUAAAAUCUGAAUCACACCAUAGAUAACGACAUAGUGUCUUAGUGAGAAGAAAUUUGAUUCUGCUGACUAGGAUACUAAAGUUUGACCUUUAUGGUCAUCUCUUAAUAAAAUAAAAGGAGAGCACUGGGCUAUUAAAUAGUUUAUUCAUGGAUCAUAGGGUGAAUAAGACCUAGAUCCUAGAGGAAAUCCUCCCCACAAAGACACUCAGACUUUUAUUCCUGUCAAUGUUCUUGUGGAUUUCAGGGAGCAAUGAUGGCUAUAAAUCUGCAACUCAUAGCAUUUCAGGCUAAACACAUUCAGCCUUUAUUACCAUUGUUCAUUUGACCUCUUUAUCCAAUUUUUUUCCCACCCACUUGCCAAUAUCACCUUGUUCUUAUGUAGGCUGUGUUUCAGCCAGCUUAAGCCUUACUAACAAAUGAGGUGAAAUCCAUCUGAGGAGGAAGCCGGGGCAUGGUGGAUUGAAAUAGCUUGCCUCAGGAGCAGAAAAUUUGGUGUGGAUCAAGAAAUAGAACUCCAAAGUAUACCUUUCCAGUCAUUGGCUUUAGCUGGAGCCAGCAUCCUUCAAUGAAUCAGUCAACAUUUACCUAUCUGUUCCCCACAGCAGUUUUGCAAAUCGCUUUCAGAAAUCAUUGAACCACUAACAGUUUAUCCACUCUGCAAAAUAUACACAGCUCUUCCCAUAUCCAGGAGGGUUAUCCCUUCUCAGCUGCGUUCAACACUUUUUACAACCCCUGAUUUCAAUAAGCAGAAUACAUCCACCUGCUUAGGGAAAUUACUCUUACCAUAUAAUUGCCUCUUAUGUUGAAAUGUCCAUGAGACCCUCUCAUGAAAUAGGGGACAAGAUAAAGCACAGAUUUUCCCCCAACUCAAACAUGCCUGUCUCAUACAUGUCAUGCCCUUGGAAAUGGCCAACACUGCUCUCUGCCUCCUGUUUAGGGUUAAGGCUUUCACUAUCUCUUGCCACCUCUGAUGAAAUUACUAACAAAUAUAUUAUCCUUACCCUUUGUCUUCUAUUCCAGCACUUCAAAUGCAUCAAAGGUCCAGAGAGAAGCUUCUUCUGGUCACCUUGAUCUUGUGAUGCAAGGCAGGUGGGAGCAAGGGCUCCACCUCUGCAGACACAGAGAUGACGGGGUCGCCAUGCCGGCGUUUUAGUCCCGGUUUCCUCUGCUCGAGUAGUUGGUGGCCUCCUGCCUGUUCCCUAACAUAACUUCACUUUCCUUACCUGCAAAACGAAAUUAGUAUUUCCUCCCUCACAAGGUGCUUGAUGCCCUUCCCCUUGCGUUUACUUUGCCUGAGAGACUAUAUCAUAUCUAUGAUUUUGUGAAUGGGGCAAAAGGAAUUGAGAGUGUCAGGGUAUACCUUAUAAAUAAGCCACUAAAGGUUACAUCCUCAUUCCACAAACUGACCUAAACAAUUUGGCUGUCACUAAUAGAUUAUUUUGGUCAGUUAUGGCAUUUAGAGGGAGAAGAGAGAGUAUAUAUAUAUGGGUGGGGUGUGUGUGUAUGCGUGUGUAUGUGUGUGUUUACAGUCAAAAUACCAAAAUAUAUCUAUGUAUAUAAAUAUAUUUGCUUUCUUUGUUUUUGUUACAAUAAACUUGUACAUACAAUUCUGACACACAUAUUUUCAUAUGUAGGCACAAAAAUAGUCAUACAAAAAAUACCACAAAAGGUAAUAACAAAGUGGAAGAAGACAUAGGAACAGAGAACAAACCAACACAUAGAAAAAGUAACAAACAUGGUAGAUACGAAUCCAGCUAUAUCAAUAAUCGCGUUAAACAUCAAUGGUCUUAAAUAUACUAGACAGUGGAAUAUUAUUCAGCAUUGAAAAGAAAUGACCUAUCAAGCCAUGAAAGACAAGGAGGAACCUUAAAUGCAUGUUACUGAGUGAAAGAAGCCAAUCUGAAAAGGCUGCAUCCUGCAGGAUUCUGACUCUAUGACAUUCUGGAAAAGAACACCAGGAGGACAGCACCAAGAGGGAGCCCUAGUGUGAACUGUGGACUCUGGUUGGUAAUGAUGUGCCUGUGAAGCUUCAUUGUUUGCAGCAAAUGCAUCAGUGUGGUGGGGGAUGUUUCUAAAUUGAUAAUGAAGGACGCCAUAGGUGUAUGGGGGCAGAGAGUUUAUGAGAAAUCUGUACCUUUUGCUCAAUUUUACUGAACAUAAAACUGCUGAAGCCAUCAUUCUCAGCAAACUAACCCAGGAGCAGAAAACCAAACGCCGCAUGUUCUCACUCAUAAGUGGGAGUUGAACAAUGAGAACACAUGGACACAGGGAGGGGAACAUCGUCACACACCGGAGCCUGUCGCAGGGUGGGGAGCUGGGGGAGGGAGAGCAUUAAGACAAAUACCUAAUGCAUGUGGGGCUUAAAACCUAGAUGAUAGGUUGAUAGGUGCAGCAAACCACCAUGGCACAUGUAUACCUAUGUAACAAACCUGCACAUUCUGCACAUGUAUCCCAGAACUUAAAGUAAAAUAUAUUAAAAAAAUUAAAGUCUAUUUUAAAAAAAGAAAAACAAUCAGCUAACCUACUUUGGUAGCUCUGUUCUGCGCUGUCGGGUCUUCCAUCCUAGCGUGUGACACAGGAGGGUUUCGCUGGCAGGACCCGCCCACUGCACAUGCAGGUUCAGGUGACAGAGACCUCUGGAAAGAUGAGGCCCGUGGGAGCAGGGGGCUUCUUGUUGACACUGAAGGUCAGGCUUCAGGAAUGCCAGGGGCUCAUAAAAUCUUUUUCACUGAACAUUAUGCUGAGCAGGAUUCAUUUUACCAGUGAAAAAAUAUUUCUGACAUCCUUUGUGCUUUUUAACAAAGCCUGUGGUGUGGAUUUGCAUGAUUCUUAGAUUGCUGAGUAACCACUUCGGGAGGGUUCUUGAUUAGGGCACUAAAAAUGUUAACACAACACCCGUGGGAUGUAGAUUAAGGUCAACUUGUCCUUGUGCGUCUCUCCUAGUGUUGAUGGCAGAGUCUUAGUAUUUCAGCUGACGAAAUCUCUGCCCAUUCUCUUCCAAUGUUCCCUAAUAAGCUACAGGAGGACAGAGACAAAAGUUUGACUUCAUUAGUAACUUUUGGAAGUUGCCCAAUUUAGGAAAAAGAGUUAAUAAAUCAGGAAUUUUAUAAGAACUUUUUGUUAAAUCUGUAGUUAUUCAAAUCAGCCUCAGCAUGAUAAGACAACACUACAGGUUAUUAUAAAUAGUUGAAAAAGAAAAAUUAAAUUCCAACCAAACAAUUGAUCCUUAACUUUUUUUUUUUUUGAGA
rnacentral:lncRNA from 10 species